GUGUGAACAACUCCAUUCAGACUGGAUGGUGUGUCUUUCACUACUGCCAUCCCCGGUGGACAUCAGACUCCAGUUUCUUCAGCCCUUCCAGGCAAAUUCAUUCCAGGAGGCCUCCAGGGGGCCUCCAGAGGGCCUCCAGGCCUACAGUCUCAGACUGGCGCUCCAUCCUUGAUUCCUCUUGUGCUGCAUCUUCCAGCUUUGGGAACAAGCAACUAGAUCCUCUGACUCUCCAGCAUGCAGAGGGCCAUUUAUGAAUGAUUCUGCCUCUAAUCCGAAACUGCUGCAAAAUCGAAGAGUCACUGUUUCAUCAGAGACAGUAUCUGUGAAUGGAAGGUUAAGGCACAGCCAUCCAUCUUCUGACGCCCAGGAAGGUGGCUACACGUUUCGCUGCCAUACUGCACUUCCCUGAUUCCACUUCACAGAGCAGCCUCACCCCAGCAGAGAAUGAAUUAUCAAGUGUGCAGGACCAGUGAUGCAGGUGGUAACAAGAAUUUACCCAGGCCAGGAAAAGAGUAAAGAUAAGGGUUUACUCAGCCCAGAGUCCACUGCCUAGGGGGGCACCAGAAUACAAAGCAUGAAUAUUGCAGUGCAGGAAGCCUUGGGCAGAAACAAUGAAGACCUUCUUGAACAUAGAAAGAAGAUAAGAUGGAUUCUAAAACGAAAGCUGAACAUCCUCAAAACAGAGUGAAGAAACUUCCCUCUUACAGGUUACAGAAGUUAAAGUCAGAAGGAGCACAGUGGCCAUCAUAGUGAAAGUGUAUAAGAUGGAGCAGGAUCACUGAUUUCCAG
rnacentral:lncRNA from 1 species